UAGAUUCACCGCCUGUAAUUGUUGAUACAGGGUAGAAUAAUUGAUUCUCGCAUGAUUCUAUAGAAAUUUGAGUGGGUGGGAUUUGAAAAAGCUCACACUCCCCCUUCAAAACCAAUUCGGACUGGGCGUGGACUACGUUGACCAGUGACAUGUUUGCGACUGAAUACAAUUGUCACCCUCUCCCAUGUUUUAUUUUUUAGGAUUGUUUACCUGUAGCCCCUUUUUCCCACCCCUCCACUUCUUUCAAGUUGGAAGACAGUGUGUCGCUUCUAAGAAGAAAUGAAUCGUUUCGCAGCUCUUUCUAAGCAUCUUCCCAUGACGUAUGGUAACGAGUACAAAAUCCGAUCCCGUGUCGAGACCUCCGGCGUCGUUUCGCGACUCUUCCUAAGCAGCUUUUUAUCGCAUCUUCCCACAACCUAUGGUAACGAGUACGAAAUGCGAUCCCGUGUCGAGACCGCCGAUACGCACCACUUCUAACGGUUUUCUUUCAAAUUGGACAACUCCGUAUCGAUGCGCCGGUUCUAACGGCUUUUUUUUUUUUACUUACCCCCACCACAAUCCGUUAUCGUCGCGACCUCCCAUGUCGAUGCGCCGGUUCUAAUACCUUUUUUUAGUGGACAGUCGCACUUAUCUCCACCACAAUCUUGCCUUAUUUCCCACAUUUUUACUAUCCAGUCAGACAAACGGACGCCAGCGUUGACGAAAAUAUUUAUUCCUCACUCCAAUUGGGUUGCUUGUCAAAGACGUCUUUUCUUCUUCUUUUCCUACGUCUGCCACCGCCGCCAGCAAAAUCUUUUAACACUUGCGACUUAAGCUCGGAUGCACUGUUUCUAAUGGCUUCUUUCAGAUGUUGACCAUCUGAUAGUUUUCGUGCCAGGUUUUUUGCUGCAUUCAUUGCAGUCUUAGUAACGUAUGGAUGUGCUCGUCGCAGGAGUGGUAAUGCAAACUUGCGCAAUGAUUUAAAGAAUCCACUGCCCCUCUGGAACAUCGGACCUGAGUACGGCAUAAUGUCCAGUCCGUGACCGUAGUGGAUUUCCGGGAUUUCUUUAAGAUACAUGUCUAAAAUGUAGAGCUAGAGCUGUUUUGCCCGGUCCUUUGAAGUGGAGAGGUCGACCAGAGUCGUCACACAACUUAAUUGAAAUGAAAUUUAUUUCAUUAUGCAAUAGCUUAAAAUAUUGUAUGUUUUGGAAAGCAUAAUGAAUGCUACUGUCUUCCUUUGCAGAGUAUGGAACUAAUUUUAAUAUGGGAAACUUCUUUGCACCCAAGUGCGAUGAUUCGAUAAUAUCACAAUAAACUAUAAAAUGAUGGAAUAAUGGUGUAAGUCUGAGGUGUGUGUUUCCAAUUGUACUGUUCGCAAAAGUUGUAAUUGGUGCAAAACCUAGCAUAUUAGAGAGGUAUUCUGAUAGAUGAAUAGUAACACCGUGAAUUGGGUUGAUAGUGCAGAGCUUUCUCUCGUUACUAUAUGUGAGUAGAGCUUUGCCUUCUAAUUGAUUGUUGAUUGUAUGUAGCAGUAAUUUCGGAGUUUCAUAAUGAUCUGGUGGAAUAGUUAUUCUUUUUGUAACAAGUACUUCUUUCUCUAUAAUCAGGUCAUAAGUGCGUUCAAAUGGAUCUCCAUAGUAGUAGGCUGUAUCAUCUUUUGUAUUAAAAUUAUUUAAUCUGAGGAGAUUCUUGAGCUGUUCUGGAAUAGCAAAGAGACUGUGUAAUGGCUGUGUCAAUCUAUAACUAUUCUCCCGGAAUGUUACAUUUGCUUCAAUUUUGUGUGUUUUAAAAAAGCGAUUUAAUGUUGUCUUGAUAGAACAACCUGGAAUGAAUGCGAUCAAGCCAUUUGAAGUAAGAAUAGAAAUUUCUUCUAGUAUGCAUAGCUGUGAAGCGUAUUCCUCUCGAAGGAAUGUGUCCUGACGAGGCACCUUAGAACCUACCACAGUAUUGCCUUGAAUGGUUGACACUCCAAUAGUCUCUUGCAAGUUGUCAUCUAUAAAUUUAAUUGACCGAACAGAAUGUGGUAAACGGAAUACAUAUCUCCCUUCAAUAUAAUUGAUAGAACUGUUCAAGUCUUUGAAAAGCUCUAGAAGGGCCAUUUCGAUAGUUUUUUUAACGAUAAUAGUCUUGCGAACCUCUGCAAAUUCUUUGUAAUCAACCUGCAUGACGCCAUCAUCACUCCGCGGUAUAUUGUAGAAUAGAUUACAGAUCGAUAGUUCUUGUAAUCCAACUUCAUACUUUCCACUCAGUUGUAGGGGUGCAUUCAAAGCAAUUGUAAAGUUGUCCAGUGUAUUUGUUGGAUAUAAUUCGGUACAAUCAUUGGACAGGAGGUACAUAUAAAACUCAGAGCCUGGCAACAUCGUGCACUGGAACCCACGAAUUAAAUGAAUCGUCAUAACCAGCCCACUUCACUUUAUAAUGAGUGACUCCAUCAAUUUUCUUACUGGAUAUAAUUUUUGCAAUUGGAUAUGGGUCAUCAGGCUCUUUAAUAACGCGUUGCAAUUCGUUUGCAUAAUAUGUGCCCUCUUCUUCUACACCAUCUGGGCCUGCAAUGUAAAAGACAGGUGGAUCUGUUUUCUUAUACCUCGAAAUUGUAUAGAUAACGUGAGACCAGUGUCCUGUGUACCCCUUGUCAAAUAUUGAUCGAUUCAAUAGAACACGAACUUGCUGGCCAAUUUCGAAUGGUAUUGUGAUGUCAUCAUCUUUUUUACUGUUUAGUCUAUUGAAGAGUUCAACUUCGUUGCUUUCAUUCACUUCAUUCGGUGCCAUUUUAAUAGUUCUAUGGUAAGAAUUGUUAUAAUCUUCUAUAAUCUUUGGAAGAAUUUUAAGGUACUUGUGAUGUCCUUUACUGCGGAAAUAGCGGAAUAGGCGGCCUUUAAUAGUUCUAAUGGCGCGUUCAGCUAGACAAGAUUUAGUAAUUGAAAAAGAAUGAUAGAGGGUUAUAGCAUGUCGCCUACACCAAGCCUGCACAUGUUUGUUGAAGAACUCAGACCCCUGAUCUACUUGGAUUAGCCUGGGGGUUUUCCCUCUCUGUCGAUAUAUCUUCAUAAAUCCUUUCUUCACAUCUUCACCUCGCUUGGUCUUGAGAGGUGUGGCCAUGACUUGCCUCGACAAACAGUCUAUCACAAGCAGUAUGUAUGAGAAUCCUUUAUUGUAUUUCUUGUAUUGGAUGAAUGAAAUGAGGUCUGCUUGAUGUAGGUCAUUCAGGUGGAGUGAGAUGACUUUCCUUCUCUUAAAUCUUCGUCUUGCAUCUUUGUGGAGAGUAUAGACGUCAUCGCGUUGUAAUUCUUGUAGUGCUUCUUUCCUUGUGAUUUUCCGUGCCUUUUGAUAACGUUUGACCCCUCCGAGCCCGCCGUCAGGUGAUCUGUAGCUCAUUCUUCUGAGAAAUAUUCUUCAUCCGAAGAUGAAAUCAACUUUGUUCUUUGCGGCGACUUGUAGGUCUCCCACAAUAUUUUCUUCUUUGAUUUUCUUUUCUGUCUGAUCUUGUGUGAUGGUAGAAGUUUUGACACCUUUAGAAACCAAGCGGGCCUCACUCGUUUAUGACCGGAUAGGUACAAGACCAAUUCCAUUAUACUAGAGCCCUGAAUGGUUUUGUUGUUAUGAAUGAUUUCUCCUUUUUCAUUCCAUGACAAACUCCUCGGUAUCGCUGACACUAUGCGCCUAACUUUUUUAAUAUUUAUAUUAUCUGGUAGAGCGUCAUAAUCGAACUUUCUGCUAAUACUUUCCUCCAUUUGUAAUGGUUUUAUUAUUGGCGGAUCUGAUUCUAUUGUCGGUUUCAAUUGAUUUUUUAUAGUGUAGUACAUAGCUGUUAGCAUACGCUUUACCUUUACAUCUUCACUUUCAUUAGAUUUCAAAAUAGUGUCCACUGGAUUUAAUACCUCGAUUUUUGUUGCCAUUUUCAAACACCAGCUACCUUAGCUAUAGCCCGCCCUGCUACACCACCUAAUAUACUAGUCAAGCCUGUCAGUAAUAGUGGGAGUAAUGGGACCAAACCUCCUCGUUGUCGAUAUAAAAACUUUUGUAGCUUCUUCGGUGAUUUGUGCAAUGUUUUAUAUGCGAUGUAUCGAAUUGUAGCUUUAUAUUUCUUUAAAUCUUUGUAUAGUUUCGGUGAAAGUUUAACAUUACCAUUCAAUAUAUUCUUGCAAACUUCGGAAAGAGCUUCAAUGCUGUGCGGAGGAGCCUCCUUCAAUAUGUUUUCCCGCUCUUUUGGAGUGCAGGUUGCAAGCACUUUAAGGAAAGUUAAAUGGUGACGUAGACUUUUCAUUUUGGUAUGAAAACAAAUUGUGGCUCGAGCUUGGUUAUACCUGUUCGCAAUCUUUUAUCAGACUGGGUAAGUGGGUGUAGGUCAAUCACUAGAUAACCAAAUGGUUUCUCUGUUGCUUGUUCGAAUGCAUUCAGAAAGUAUGGCAACCGUGAUUUCCCGAAGAUUUGUCGUCCUAGAAGUUCGAGUUGCGUACGAGAUCUUAAAUUAUUGAAUAAUAUUAUAUAUGUGCUGUUGUGUGAUAGAGUGCGGUAGUUUACAUCGUUAUGGAAUAAGUAUUGGCAAAGAAAAAUAAUUGAUGCAUUCUUGUGAUGGGACGCUCUUGUAUAGAGGUGAACCAUAUCUUGCAUAACAUUCUUUUCAGUCAUGAGAUCGUCAACUAUAAUCAGUGUUGGUAUGUUCUCAUCCCAUGUCGUUGGUAAUUCUUUACUAAAUGUAAUUUUAGUGAAUUCAUUUUGCCAGCUAGCGUCAUAUUUACUAACAUAAAAUAUUUGUUCUGGGACUACACCGAAUACUGAUAGAUUUCUAAGGAUGUUACGAACUAAGUAAGUUUUUCCUGACAUGGAAGGUCCACAUAUAAUAAUUCGUGCAGGAUGGAUGAAAGAAAACGGUCUUACGUCGGACAUUGUGUCGCAGAGGUAGAAGUGAAACUGAUAAUAAGGUGUAUUGAUAACUAGAUUUAUUACCAUCCACUGUCGAUUUGAUCAAAUUGACUUUUUGCAGACUCUCGUUUGAUCCUGAGGAGACGUUCGUGAGACAAAACGCGUCUGAUAGCUUCAGCUUUUGCUUCAUGGAUUUCUUGUUUCAGACGCCAUUUCCUGUCUUCGGUAGACUCAACUUCCUCCUCUUCACAUUUCUUUCCGAAACAGCGACGAAAGAGCUUCCACAUAAUUAUUUUGGGAGAGAGCUCCUGGUCUGGGGAACGAAUGGGAGAAUGAGGAGGUGGGCUCGCUCGAGCGGUAAUAAAUGGGAAAGAGUGGAGAGGAGGUUGUAUGAUAAUGAGGAUGCGCGCGUUUAAAAGUUUCUUCCUCACUUGACUGACACAUAUUCCAAAAAAUGUCCAACGAAAACGGUAAGUUUUUUGAUCCGCAACAUAGUUCUUUUUUUCUCAUGGAUAUUGUCUUUUUUCAGAACUCAGAUCGAGUCCGAUAUACUUUGAAAAUGCUCCAGAGUCGCCGCCGCCGAUAUCAUACACGCCAGUAUCGGAUUAGAGCAUAUUUAGCUCUAGUCCAACAUUUUUUCCAAAUGCUCCAGAGUCGCCGCCGCCGAUAUCAUACACGCCAGUACUAAGACCAGCACCUGAAUAUUACUGGGGUCUGCCACCACAGCAUUGUCAGUGCUGUGUCCAACGGGCGGAAACAAAAGAGUUUUAAAAAAAUGUAAUUGUUAAUACACUAAUGGAAAUAUUUAGAGAGCAAUAAAUGUAUGUAUUCUUUAUUAUGUGUAUUGUGUUUCUUCUGUUACAGGUCGUGAAGGUUUUUCGGCUGGGUUUUUCUCCUUCACCUGAUUGGCAUCACAAUUGGCACAAUUCCCAGCACAAUUGGCUUUAAUAAAUAUAUCGCAACCUGAUUGGCAUUACAAUUGGCAUUAAUAAAU